CCUACGGGAGGCAGCAGUGGGGAAUAUUGCACAAUGGGGGAAACCCUGAUGCAGCGACGCCGCGUGAGUGAAGAAGUAUUUCGGGAUGUAAAGUUCUUUCAGCAGGGAAGAAAAUGACGGUGUCUGAUUAAGAAGCCCCGGCUAUCUACGUGCCAGCACCCGCGGGAAUACGUAGGGGGCAAGCGUUUUCCGGAUUUUUUGGGUGUAAAGGGAGCGUAGACGGGAGCACAAGUCUGGAGUGAAAUGUCGGGGCUUAACCCCGGAACUGCAUUGGAAACUGUGCAGCUAGAGUGCAGGAGAGGAAAGUGGAAGUCCUAGUGUAGCGGUGAAAUGCGUAGAUAUUAGGAGGAACACCAGUGGCGAAGGCGGCUUACUGGACGAUAACUGACGUUGAGGCGCGAAAGCGUGGGGAGCAAACAGGAUUAGAUACCCGAGUAGUC
rnacentral:rRNA from 1 species